rnacentral:misc_RNA from 1 species
GCAAGGAAAAAAAGAUUCAGUAGGUAAGUCUGUUACUAGAAUCCAAUUUUCAUGCCAAGGCAUCAGGCUAAAGAAAAUAUAUAGGAAGACAAAAGUAUCAGACUCCAUAUUUGAUACAGAAAAGAUUGUAAGUGCAUAUCUCCAUAUGAGUGAGGGAAAACAAUACUCUAGAUUUCUUAGAAUUCAGUUGGGAAAAAUAAGGAAAAAAAAAGAUAAGGAAAUAGGUGAGCUUUAGGGAAAUAAAAUAGGGAACGAGUAGAGAGAGAGAAGAAUGGGGGAAAAUAGAGGAAUGAGAGAGAGUGGAGAGUGGAAAAAUGGAAAAGCAAGAAACAGGGCUUUUUUGGAGUGUUUGGAUGGAAAUCAAGAGAGAGGGGGUUGGCUAGAGGGCACUAUGGAACUUAUUUUGCUGGA